rnacentral:tRNA from 1 species
AUGGAUGUAGCUCAGCAGCGCAGCGCCUGCCUGGCAAGCAUAAUGCCCUGAGUUUGAUUCUCUGUAUCUAAA